CUCUACCACUUUUCAAACCGGACUUUCUGCAUUCCAUUCUGGUUAAAAAUUACACAAAGAGAACAGAAACCAGCAACGCCACUAUCCCAAAAAAAAAAAGGAUCUGAAAUGACAAGGUCCUUGUGGGCAGGCCCAAAAAUCAACCUUCCCCAAACUGAUCUUCCCCAAACGUGUUGGGUUUAACUCCCAUAAUCCCCAGCCGGGACUUGGAUUAGGUAGCCCAGUCUCCCCGGAAGCUACUGAAGUAGGGCAGAAGGUCAUCUGAUCAAAGUCGGACGUCGUAGUUGAAACUCACAAACUACAGUGUCACAGUCUCAACGUGGGCCCCUCCCCGAGUGUUGGACUACGACAUCCAUACUCCUCCUCCUGCGGCUGACAGAGCGGAUGGAAGUUGUAGUCUGACGCAAGGAGAUGGGGACGUGGCUUGAGCUUGUUCCAAGUAUCUCACUCCUUUCCUUCACGAUCUGCACAGCUCCUUCCUGUCCCCCUCCCCUUGUGAGAUUGUUGCCGUAUCUAAGCCACAAAACUAUUCCCAAGCAAAAUAUGGACUCCCCCUGCAUUCCGAAGCUAUUAUCAUCGUGACACAAAUAGCCAAAAGACAUUUCAUUACCAAACUAGGUAACACCAUCAGUGCUAGAGAAGAGAGGGGAUUGCUCUCCGUUUAUAUACAGUGGCUUGUCCUGUCCGUGCAGUGAGAGUGUUCUCGGUGGUCCCUUGAUUAGACAAGCAAAAAGACCACAACAUCUCCUGAUCAGCAAUCAACGCCCAGGUAAGCAGAGAUGAACAAUCAAGGUUAACACUAAACCAACAAUCAAGAAGUAAACAAUACCCCAGCCAAGGAACCACCGAUUCAGACAAACAAGCUAAAAGUCAGCAGCAGCCCCACCGCCAUUCUCACCAACCCUGACAGGGCGAGCCACUGGCAUAUAAAAAGACAGCAAACCCCACUCCCUUCUCCUAGCAUUGAUGAUGUAACCUAGUUGGGUAAUGAAACGUCUGCAAGGAAACAGCCAGGCUCAGAAAGCACCGAGGACCCUAACUCUCUUGUUUCCUUUUGUAAUUUUUAAUUGUAUGCUGUCCACCGUUGCUGGGAGUCAGGUGGUCUAAAAACUGUAGGCAGAAAUGAACAAACGCAACGCUGAACGAAGUUUUCACAACGAAGGGUGGAGCCCUAGUUUGGUAAUAAACAUUUUCGCGAUAGACAGAAGGUACCAGAUUCAAAAUCCUUGGACUUUCUUGAUAAGAUGGCCAGCAUGGCUAAAGGAACAUAUCGCUGCACACCCUUGAGAUCCUGAUAAGAAGCAACCUAUUUAGAUAACGAUUAAUAUUGAUUGUUUUAUUGUAUUAUUUUACACUUCCCAGAGUCACUUUCCCCGAGAUGGGUGUCCUUAUAAAUUUAAUAAGUAUAUAGUGAGGUGGCUCUGUUAUUAUGAACAUCCCUCAUUUCUUUUCUUUCCUUGUUUAGCUCUGCCUUUAUAGCCUUUAAUGUUUUUUUGUUUACAUAAUUACUUACAAUGGUUUUUAGGUGAUAAUUGUUUUAGAGUUAUUAUUUUUUUUUAAUUGAAUGGCGUGCGGCCAGAAUCACUCUGUGUUAAAAAAAAAAAAGGAAACCACAUAAAUUCAAUUAAUACAUAAAAUAAACUCCCUGUAUUUCUAUGAUUGUCCUAAUAAAUCGUAUGAAAUGGCCAAGCUUCUAAAAAAGAGAGAUUCAGCCCCAAAUAUUCCAUAGAUCUUUAAGGAGAAGGGUAUUGUGUUUCUCUCAUGGAAUAAAGCACUCUGCAGUAAGAAAAAUGGGCCAGUGAAGUAGCAAGAUAGAACUCACACCUCACA